AUGGUCAAUCGCCCGUGCGCCAAGCUCGCGUUCAAGUUCUUCGGGCCCUACAAGAUCAUCGAGAAGAUCGGCUCACUUGCGUACAAGCUCGACCUGCCACUAGAGAGCCAGAUCCACCCCGUCUUCCACGUCUCGCAGUUGAAGCCAUUCACACCGGACUUCACGCCGGUGUACAGUGAGCUGCCCAAGGUGCCCGACCUCUCCACCACCGGUCUCUCUCCCACACGCGUCCUGGACCGGCGCAUGAUGAAGCUGGGGAAAGCGCCCGUGGUACAGAUCAAGGUACAAUGGGGAGUUGGGGACUCCGCACCAACGACGUGGGAGAACUACGACGUUCUUCGUCAGCGCUUUCCUUCUGCGGAGCUCUGGGAGGAAGAAGACGCUGGCGAUGACGUUGAAGGCGAAGAGGGCGAUGCACUGUCUUAA
rnacentral:rRNA from 1 species